AGGUUUCGUGGUCUAGUUGGUUAUGGCAUCUCGCUCACACCGAGAAGGUCCCCGGUUCGAGCCCGGGCGUAACCUU
rnacentral:tRNA from 4 species